UUCCAUUUCAGAACCAUCCUCAGAGAUAUAGUUUCAUGUUUUUCAUAUCUCGAGGAUGGUUCUGAAAUAUAAAA